GCGCGGGUAGCUCAGUGGUAGAGCGUUCGAUUGCAGCUCGAAGGUCAUGGUUAUCCGGUCCCGCGCU
rnacentral:tRNA from 1 species